UCCGGGCGCGCGGAAUUCAGAACCGACGAGCAUACUUCGUCGAUUCGAUAUUUCCGCCGCCGACCCGUAGAACCGGGUGCGGACGUCGCGACCCGUUCGUCGUCGAUCUGACGAGUCGCGUUUCGAGUUCGAGGCGCGCGCGUUUCGUUCGCGUGCGCGCGCGUCGCGAUGGCGCGAUACUCGGAUCGGCGUGCGCGGACGGUAGCUGUGAACGCGCGGGUAAUCGACGCCGACGAUAUACGGUCGUAUUGCUGCGACGGUAUAUGUUCGAGCGUCGACGCCGGUCAGCGACGAAUUUUCGGGCCUCUUUCCGACCCGUCUUGAAACACGGACCAAGGAGUCUAACGUGCGCGCGAGUCGCGGGGUACUCGAGUCGUUAGUUUUUUUUCGUUUUUUUUUAAAAUUGGAAAAAGACGACGCGAUUCGUUACACGAACGAAACCCGUUAUACGUACGUUGUGCGAAGGCGUAAUGAAAGUGAGGCGACGCGUUUCGGCGCGUCGCCGGGGAAGACGGUGCUAUUUCCGUGUACACGUUCCUCGGUCGCACCGUGUAACCGAGGCCGGACACCCGCAUUCCCAGGGCGUCCCGUCCGUCCGUCGAUGGCGCGGACGUGCGUUCGCGUACGUCGGCCGUCGACGAACUGGGGCGCACCUAUAGCGUGCACGUUGGUACCCGAAAGAUGGUGAACUAUGCCCGGCCAGGAUGAAGUCAGGGGAAACCCUGAUGGAGGUCCGCAGCGAUUCUGACGUGCAAAUCGAUCGUCUGAGCUGGGUAUAGGGGCGAAAGACUAAUCGAACCAUCUAG
rnacentral:rRNA from 1 species